CAUUAAGAUACUUAAAGCAAGUAUUGAUCUCUUAAAUCAAAUUUUGGUAAAUUAGCAAAUACCCUUAAUGA
rnacentral:tRNA from 1 species